CGGGUGAGUAAUACAUCGGAACGUGUCCGCUCGUGGGGGACAACCAGCCGAAAGGUUGGCUAAUACCGCAUGAGUUCUACGGAAGAAAGAGGGGGCCCGCAAGGGCCUCUCGCGAGCGGAGCGGCCGAUGACUGAUUAGCCUGUUGGUGAGGUAACGGCUCACCAAAGCAACGAUCAGUAGCUGGUCUGAGAGGACGACCAGCCACACUGGGACUGAGACACGGCCCAGACUCCUACGGAAGGCAGCAG
rnacentral:rRNA from 1 species